AGCGCCUCCCAGCCAUGACGGAGGCGCGGCGUACAGCUCAGUAACACGUGGCUAACCUGCCCUCGGGACGGGAAUAUCCCCGGGAAACUGGGGCUAAUCCCCGAUAGGUGAAGAACUCUGGAAUGAGUCUCCGCCCAAAAGACGCUUAAAUCAUGCUUUUAGGCGCCGCCCAAGGAUGGGGCCGCGACCGAUCAGGUAGUUGGUGAGGCAACGGCUCACCAAGCCUUUAACCGGUGCGGGCCGUGGGAGCGGGAGCCCGGAGAUGGGCACUGAGACAAGGGCCCAGGCCCUACGGGGCGCAGCAGUCGCGAAAACUUUGCAAUACACGAAAGUGUGACAGGGCUAUCCCGAGUGCCAUCCGCUGAGGAAGGCUUUUACCCAGUCUAGAAAGCUGGGAGAAUAAGGAGAGGGCAAGCCUGGUGUCAGCCGCCGCGGUAAUACCAGCUCUCCGAGUGGUGUGGUUGUUUAUUGGGCCUAAAGCAUCCGUAGCUGGCCAAGUUAGUCCCCNUGUUNAUCCACCGAAUUAAUCGUUGGAGUGCGG
rnacentral:rRNA from 1 species